GCUGAGAAACGGCUACCACUUCUACGGAAGGCAGCAGGCGCGAAAAUUAUCCAAUCCUGAUUCAGGGAGGUGGUGAAACAAAUAAUGAACUAGGAUUUAUCCUGGGGUCACAAUGGGCUUGAUUUGCAAACUUUAUUUAGCGAGGAACAAUUGGAGGGCAAGUCUGGUGCCAGCAGCCGCGGUAAUUCCAGCUCCAAUAGUGUAUAUUAAUGUUCCUGCAGUUAUUCGAUGCUCGUAGUUGGAUUUCUGGAGGCUGAGAUCGGAGGGUAGCCAAGGUUACCGCUGAACUCUUCCUUCAUCCACCUGUUAACGUUGUCCGGGAUUCGUUUCUCGGCUUCGGGCUCAGGCAUAUACUUUUACCCUUUUUCUAUAUUUAUUGUUUUGAGUAAAUUAUAGUGUUUCAGGCAGGCGUGCGCCGGAAUACUUUAGCAUGGAAUAAUCGAAUUGGACCGUGUAUUCUUAUUGAAUUCUUCCUUAUUGUUGGUUCAAGGACACGGAAAUGGUUAAUAGGGAUAGUGUUUUUAUUAUCAGGGGAGGCAUUAGUAUUUAAUUUCCAGAGGUGAAAUUCUUUGAAAUAUUAAAGACUAACUUAUGCGAAAGCAUUUAUUAUUGCCAAUAAUGUUUUCAUUAAUCAUUGAACGAAAGUUAGGGGAUCAAAGACGAUCAGAUACCGUCCUAGUCUUAACCAUAAACGUUGCCGACUAGGGAUCGGAGGGCGUGCACAUUCCGCCUUCGGCACCUUACGAGAAAUCAAAGUCUUUUGGGUUCUGGGGGUAGUAUGGUCGCAAGGCUGAAACUUAAAGGAAUUGACGGAAGGGCACCACCAGGAGUGGAGCUUGCGGCUCAAUUUGACUCAACACGGGAAAUCUUACCAGGUCCAGACAUAGCGAGGAUUGACAGAUUGAUAGCUCUUUCUUGAUUCUAUGGGUAUUUUAUAUAUAUUUUGGUGGUGCAUGGCCGUUCUUAGUUGGUGGAGUGAUUUGUCUGGUUAAUUCCGUUAAACGAACGAGACCUCAGCCUGCUAAAUAGUUACCUGUCUUUUCAUUUUUUAUAAUUACGAGACUUGAUAACUUCUUAGAGGGACGUUGUGUGCAACCACAAGGAAGUUGAGGCAAUAACAGGUCUGUGAUGCCCUUAGAUGUCCUGGGCCGCACGCGUGCUACACUGAUACGUACAACAAGGGGGGUAUAUGCAUUCAUGCAUCGACGCUGCUCCGAGAUAGACA
rnacentral:rRNA from 1 species